UGAAAUUGAUGAAAUAAAUCGAUAAGAAAAUGAAAAAAGGUCUAUCUGUGUUACUUGUUUCAUUCUCAUAGAAGAACUGCAGUGCUGGUCACUGAUCGAACACAAUGUAGCAAUGGAAAAGAUCUUCCAUUGCUUAAAAAUGCUGCUUUGUGUGGCCAUCUUGGACUCUUUAAUACAGGGCUUUAGGGUUCAAGAGAUUCCCAACUUGACUCUGAAUGCAUCCGAAUUGCUGAUGAACAACCUCAAUGCCCUCUAAAGCAGGCUCCACUGCGCUGUUUGAGAAACCUUCCAGAAGCGCCACCCUGGAAAUUCAAAUGUAUUGUACUUUGCGGAUGGGAAAAAAACAGUUAACCAAAGAGAGCCAAAGACAGAGAUAGCACGUGUGACUUGAUGACCCAAUCCAAGGAAGGCUUUUAGUGUAACGGGUAAAAACAAAUCCGGAACAUAUUGCCAAAUUAGGACUUCCUACGUGGCAUUGAAGAAAUUGAACAUAUCCAGCUAUACUUAAUCACAAUAUUGGCGUAGGCAAUUUGGUGCAAAAACCAGGAAAACCUUCAUUACUUUGGAAACGCAUCAUUUUGUGAAAGCCAUUGUAAUAACUAAACUAAACAUUUAUUUAAGCUACUAAAACUUAGCUUAAAGGAACUGUCCAGGAAAACAGAGUGCUUGUAUGCGAAAGACCAAAGUACAAAGAUAUGUUUAUGCUGCUGUAUUUAAAAUAAAUGAAUACAAUUUAUGUCUGUUUGUCUUUCAGGUCCAGAAGGAGGCGUUAACAAUCGUAGUGCACAACAGGCGACGGCGCCAUCCGAAGACAUAGACGAGUUCUACAGUCUGACACAGAAUCCUCGAGGCUUGUGUGUGAUCAUCAGCAACGAGGACUUCAUGGGCUCUAAAUACAAAAAACGUCUUGGAAGCAAAAUGGACAACG